rnacentral:rRNA from 1 species
GAGCUUUCCCUUCGGGGACAAAGUGACAGGUGGUGCAUGGUUGUCGUCAGCUCGUGUCGUGAGAUGUUGGGUUAAGUCCCGCAACGAGCGCAACCCUUGAUUUUAGUUGCCAGCAUUUAGUUGGGCACUCUAAAGUGACUGCCGGUGCAAGCCGGAGGAAGGUGGGGAUGACGUCAAAUCAUCAUGCCCCUUAUGACCUGGGCUACACACGUGCUACAAUGGAUAGUACAAAGGGUCGCGAAGCCGCGAGGUGGAGCUAAUCCCAUAAAACUAUUCUCAGUUCGGAUUGUAGGCUGCAACUCGCCUACAUGAAGCCGGAAUCGCUAGUAAUCGUGGAUCAGCAUGCCACGGUGAAUACGUUCCCGGGCCUUGUACACACCGCCCGUCACACCACGAGAGUUUGUAACACCCGAAGUCGGUAGGGUAACCUUUAUGGAGCCAGCCGCCGAAGGUGGGACAGAUAAUUGGGGUGAAGUCGUAACAAGGUAGCCGUAUCGGAAGGUGCGGCUGGAUCACCUCCUUUCUAAGGAA